CAUGCAAUCCUGUGCAUUUGGGAGCAGGGAUGUGGAGGAGCUGUGGAAAUUCAGGAGACUUUCAGGAAAGGAGAAGAGUUUUGUUUGAGUUUCAUUUUCUGUGUGUUGAACUGCCCCAUCCCUGCUCAACUUUUUUUUUUUUUUUUUUUUUUUUUAAUUUUAUCCUUGUCAACCUCUUCAAGAUGAUAGGAAAAGAGUAAAAGAAAAGUCCACAAAGUAUCUCCGUUCAGAAUUACCAGUAGAAAAAAGUGCUUAGAUUAGUGCUUAGCCUGUUAAAGCCUUCUGGUCCUUCAGAAUGCUAUUCUCUUACUCCAACGAGUAUAACUUUUUANUUUUUUUUUUUUUUUUUUUACUUUAAUUGAAGCCUAGUGUGAAAAAACUAGAUGCUUGGAAAAAUGUAAAAGAAAACUGUAUAAAGUAUCUCCUUUCAGAAUUAACAGUAGAAAAAAGUGCUUAGAUUAGUGCUUAGCCUGUUAAAGCCUUCUGGUCCUUCAGAAUGCUAUUCUCUUACUCCAACGAGUAUAACUUUUUAAGUAAAAUAACUUUGUCAGAAUUAUAUUAUCAGCCAAAUUUACUGUUGGGCCUGUGCAACGAGCUUCUAAAACUUACAGCAAAUUUCCCAUCUCAGAUCUGACAUGCUGCAGAGACAUUGUCCAGAUGAAGAAUGUACCAGGGAUCUCAGCUGAUUUAGGAAAAAAAAAGUACACUUUUCUCAGCAGGAGGAAGGUACUGGACUUAUUCAAAGUCUAGGAGCGGCAUCCCCUGUCUCCAGCUUCCCCGGCAUGUCCAACCAGAUGCCGACCCACGUUUUCCUGUCGUUUCUGCUGGGCAGCUCCCCGGCUUUGGUGCGGCGGUUCAGGUUCGCACAGCGGGGAGCAGGAGCCGGAGCUACCCAGCAGCUUUGGACGCCUCCUGCCAGGAGCGAUCAUGCAGUUCUGCGGCAGCCGAGAUGCUGGUGCGCCUCUCUGGGAACGGCUGACUGCGUUUCAGCGGUGUUCCUGACUUCGCCUCUGGUGCAGCCCCUCUUACACUUCGGUGAUUGUCCCCAGAGAGGAGCUCCAGGAGAUGUUUCAGCUGGCGGGGAGUGCGACUGCUGUGCUGUGGCAGGGGGUGUGACUCUUCACCGUGGGUGAACUGUGCCAGGGAUGCUGCUCUGAACUGGGAUGAGAGCCCAGUGUGACAAGGGCAGUUGUUGGAGGCCACACAUACGAAAAUGUUGAUGUAACAUCAGCUGUUAAUGAUUUUGAAAGGGUGUUGAGCCAACAUGUAAGUUCAUUUCUUAUCUUCCCUUCAUUUAAACUCAUGUCUUUCUUCCACUUCCCCUUCCUCCAGAAGACUUGACACUUUCAAAGCACUUCACAAAUUAAACAAGUAAUCGUCAUGGGUGCCUAAGAGCUGCACUGGGAAACUGAACUGAGACUGAGCUUUUUGAUAAGGGCUAGAGACUCUGCUUCUUCCGUCAGUCUCGGUGAGUGUACAGGUAAAGCCAGUAGUGCCUGUAACUGGGAUGAUGGCUCUGAAGAAGGCCUAACCUCACGGCCUCUAUCCGCUCUCCCACCUCGCAGUGCGUUUCUGCAGAGCAGCCACCCGCACAGUGGCAGGUUCUGCUGUCCGUGAUGAAGAGGGGCUGGUUGUCUCCUGGAGGGCACCUCUGUGAGCGUGGGACACUGGUACGAUUCUUCAGGCUUGAUGCUUUGCUCUUGCACAGCUCCAUGCCAGGUGUCUGUGCUAUUUAGGAGGAUAGGGGGCCAAAUUCGUGGCUUCUCUUUUUAAAAAGAAAACCAAAAAAAAUCCAUCAUCAUCCAGUGGAAAUGAAGCUGUAACAAAGGGGCAGACAAACAGGACCCUAAUGGGAAAGGGGGGGGGGGGGAGGGAAAGAGCACUCAGGAGAGAUUCCUGUCUUUGCGGAAGACACUGGAAAUGAAAGCCUGCUGUGUGCCUUCCCCCUGCGCCUUGUCCUCCCACUGCCUGUCACUGGCCCCAGGGAGGCUCGCCACCUCCUCCGAAACAGGAGUCAUGCCUGUCCCUUCUGCCUGUGCCUGUCACUUCUGUGCAGCUUUCAAGUAUUCCAGGGAGGCACAACAUCCAAACGGAGCCAGCCCUGUGCUGUGGAGGGGAAUGCAUCCUAUUCAG
ensembl:lncRNA